CUACCUGUGGUACCCGCUCUCAGCCAUCCUGGUCGUUAUCGUCCUCAAGUCAUAUCUGAUGAUAGCUUCCAUGAGGAUGGUGAGCAAGUCUUACCUCGGUAAGAACGUGAAGGUGAUCGCCGAAUACAUGCAGCAUAUAGACAACAGGCUGGUGGUCUUCAAUCCUGUGACCAUGGAAGGCUACCAGUACAUGGUCGCUGGUGAGAAACACUGCGUUAACAGGCCUGGACACACACCAUGGUACAAGAAGCCGGACGACUUGAAGGUUACCACCGUGGAGCAGAUCUGGCAGUGCGAGGGGAAUCUGCUCAUUGGUGAUCAGGGCAAGGUGCUCAAGGACUUGUGCCUCUCUAUGGCUCUCUCCAAGAUGCUCAACCGAAGGUUUGCUGGCUUCAAGCUCUCAGAGGCAGAGCUUGAGAAAACCCACGACUUCGUAUUCAAAGGCCUGCUCGCCGGGGACGAGCAGCGGGCCUUCAGGGUCAUUGAGGAAGAACUUGUUUUUGUCCAUGACAUGUAUUACACAAGGUACUCUUACCUCUACCAAAAGGGUCGAUACCUGGCUCUCUGUCUGCCUGUCAUCAUGUUUGCCCUAUGCUCGUGGCUCACAGUGGCCAGCCUGCACGUCAAGCAUCACGACGACCCCUAUCUCAGUAAUCAUAGCAAUCGCAGUCUGAUGUCUGGCACCAUAGUCAUAACGGUUGUCUUGGCAUUCCUGGAGGCAUACCAGCUGUACCUGUACAUAGCCUCAGGUUGGUUCAAGGUGGCACUGAUACGGAGCUAUGUCGCCGCACCUUUUUUGCAAACAAGCUGUUUCUAUGAGAUGAUCAUACAUCUUCUCUUGAUGUUGAAGGUGUUUCGCCCAUGGAAGGGCAGACUUGGGCAGUACUGUUUCCUCGAGAAUCUUGGCCGCAAAAGUAAGGUUGUGAAUUGUCUCCAUUAUGGUACACUGUGCUUGGUGGACAAGGCCAUGAAGGGAAGCAAGAAAUCAGUGAAGGUCUCCGAAGAUGUGAAGAAAGCCAUCAUUGAUUCCCUACUAGCAAGCAACGGACACCUGACGAACGGGGUAACAUCGCUGCAAAAAAAUGGCGUCCAUGAUGACCUCAAAUGGGCAUGUGAUGCUACUGCUACUGACGGAGCGUUGGCUCGCACCAUUGUGGUCUGGCACAUUGCUACAACCCAGUGCGAGCAGAAGCUGGAUAAACAAGUCAAAGAAGAAGACGCUGUCAAAACAGCCUCCACUUUAUCCAAGUACUGCAUGCACCUCCUUGCUUUCGCACCUAACCUCUUGCCCGACCACAGCUCCAUAUCGGAAUCCAUACUUGAUUAGUCAAUCCACGAAGCAAGCAAGUUACUCAAAGAGGCCAAGGACAAGAAGAUCAAGGGCAAGAACAAGAAGAUCGAGGGCAGGUGUGAGAUACUAAUGCAAAUUAGCACUGAUGAUGAUUGUGUUGAUGAUGAAACAAUUCUUGUUGCGCGGGGCGUUCACCUUGCAAGGCAACUGAUUGAUAACAUACAAGACUUCACAACACGGUGGAAGGUGCUAUCUGAUUUCUGGGCGGAGAUGAUGCUGUAUGUCUCGCCAUCCGACGAUGCUCGGGAGCACCUGGAAGUUCUUGCAAUAGGAGGGGAGUUCAUCACGCACCUUUGGGCGCUGCUCACGCAUGCCGGUGUGCUGAAGCGAGGACCUACAGUGCCAAAGGAUGGUUUGUGACCUCUUUAACAAGUACACACGUAGCAGUCAUUAUAUCUAUCUAGUGCUUGUAACAUUCUAUGUAUGUUGGCACACCAUGUGUGAGUUAGUCUGUCGAGUCUGUAUCUCUUUUCAUGUCGAGUUAGUUUGUCGAGUCUGUAUCUCUUUUCAUGUCGUGUCCGUUGUCAGAUUUUGGGCAGAGUCAGAUCUGGUAAUUUCCGCAAGUUUCCUUAAGAAGAGCGUGUGUUCAGGUUGUUGGACGUGCGCGCGUCUAAGGUGGCCAUUACAGUCGCAAUCUGUUCCAUCGACCACUUGGGCACUCUCUCUCAGUUGCGUCUGUUCGUCUGUCAAUUGAGCAGGUCCUGUUGCAGCAGAGAUUGACCCUGCUACUACAGAAGGGGCGGGGAUCCCCUCCUGAGGAUUCCAGCUCUUUAGGGAGGGGUUCAACCUUGAGGAAGAUGCCAUAGUAGGAAUUCUUGCAUUCAUGUUCGUAACAAUACUGAGUGUUAUGGAAAAAUAUGGUCUUCUUCCUCUUCCCUCUUUGGGGAAGGGAAGCCUUUAUUCUUCGCGGAGUGUAUUGGGGAUAUAGGACUGAAAGCAGUGAUCAAGGACACGACUUGCCUUCUUGGUCUUGCUCCUGCUGUUCAUACUCCUCGAAGGCUUGAUCUUCAAAUCCCUCGAACUGCUGAACGUCUACACGCAUCAGACAAGCACAUACAAGCAAACAAGGGCAUAAAGUAAGAAAACAAUACACCAAUCAAAAUUAAACAGAGAAAACAAGCUUGUAAAAUUGAUCUACGCUUUAAAAACGAACAUGUAGAUAUAAAGAAUGCGAAAAAAGGAGUUAAGAUGCAAAAGAUAUAAUUAAAAUAAGAUCCAGGGGUUUUUCUGCGAGAAUUCAAAACUUUUAGGGUCAAACUGCGAAAAAUUGAGGACUUAUACAUAAUUACGUGUAUAAACUGAAGGUUUAAUGUGCAAAAACGCAACUUAGGAUGGCAGGUUGAUUUUAGAGAAACUCAGGGUCGAAACCGAAAUAAAAUAGGACCAAAACACAAAUGCUUUUGAACUGGAUUGGACUGCGGGUUGAUUUGCAGAAAAGGUGAGGGCUUAAGUGCAAAAGAGGCGCGACGCGGCGCGGUUGACUAGUACGCGAUCUAGUUGACCCGCUGUGGGCCGUCGGAUUUGGAUCCGACGGUCAUGGUCGUCGGCGACACUGAAGCGGUGGCAGAAAAAGGUGGCGGACGGCGACGAGCGGCGGCGCUUUGCCGGAGUUGGCCGAAACAGCGCUCCGGGGUUCGGUUUCGCGCGCGGAUUGCACGAGAUGGAUGCGGGGAACACGACGAACUCAUUUAGGGCUUUGGCGGGGGUUGCGGUGCGACGGAGCUCACUUUUUGGCGGCGGCUUGCGGCGGUGCUGCUAGGGUUUGGAGGGGCGAUGGCUGGGUGCUUGAGGCCGGGGGGGGUGCGGCGGCUUAAAUAGGGGCGUAUGGCGGCGGGAUACGGAUAGGAGAUGGACUCCGCGCGGAGGAAGCGCGCGGCGGUUGCGGGAGGUGGGCGGAGUCCGGGCGCGGUCGGGGAGAAGUCCCGGCCGGGUACGCCUGCCCCACCCGUCAGACCGGUGGAAGGGAGCGGGUCGGCGCUGCUUCGCGGGCCGUGGAGGAAAGGAGAUGGGCCGGUGAGGGAGAAACGUGGCGUGGGCCGGAGGAGCUGAGGGGAGGCGGGGCCGAAAAGGGAGGGAGGUCGGUAUGCUGGCCAGGCCGGCAGAACGGGCCGAGCAAACGAGACGGGCCGACAAGUGAAGGUGGAGCUGGUGGCGCUGGGCCGCAAGGAGUUGGAGCCGGGCUGAAAGAAAAAGGAGGAGGAGAAAGAAUGCAGCCCAAGAGGGGACAGUAAAAGAAAAGAAGAAAAGGAAAAGUUUUGGAAAUUGAAUUUGAGAUUUUGAAUUGGAAUUUGGAUCAAAUACAAUCAACCAAAAAUUAUGCACCAGCAUGAAUGUACAACAAACUCCUAUGAUGAAUUAAUUUAAUUUAGAGAAAAUGAAAAUUAAUAUGCCUAAGAAUUUAAAUGACAUCUUAAUUAAGCAAAUUUUAAUGAAUUUAAAUUAAGCAAAUUUUAAUGAAUUUAAAUUAAGCAAAUUUUAAUGAAUUUAAAUUCUUUAAAAAUUUGGUGUUACAAAUGCCAGGCUUUCGGGUCCGUGCACCCAAGUCCUAACAUGACGGAGAUUCUGGGUACCAUCCUAUGCCAAGUAGCAGAUGGUGCAAUGUCUGCUGGCAGUGGCACCGAACCUGCAGCAGAACAAAAUAUCAUCAACGACAUAUCAAUUUCCCUCUCUGACAAGAGGUACGCAACAUUGCAUCCUGUCCAUUCCCAUUCCCUUUGCGCUUGUCGAACAACCCGUUUGUGUUAUGGUACUAUCCUAAAAAUAGAACAUAUUAUGUUUGGAACGUUAGUCCAACAACCCGUGCAUCCACACAUAUUUUUAGAAAAAGCAUAGAUAAUUGAGCUUUGUGAAAGGCAUAUAAUUUAGUAAUAUUUAGAGGUGAUUAUGUUUUCUAAGUUUUUUACCAUGUUUCUUCUUCCUCCUAUGAUUAUGUGAAAGGUUUUAUGGAGUACUCAACAAAGUUUGCUAGUCCAUUAACCACGCUUUUGCACGGGAUAUAAAUUUUAAAAGAUUCAUAAGUAUUAAAAGCUCAUGGAUAGUUAAUCCGAAGUCUACGAGUAAUUGAGAAAUUGCUUAUCUUUGCUUUGUCUCCUAUUUAUUUAAUUUUUUUAAAACAAUAUAUACCCAUAUAGGUAUUUUCUUAUAAUCUUGUAUGUUGGUGAUUGGUGUUGAUUAAAAAUUACUUUAUAUGCCUUUUAAUUCACAUUCAUAGUCUUUUCAACUUUAGAUGAAACAUUAGUGAAGGACUGAGAUGGGCGACUGGGGGUGAAUAGGAGCCUCCAAUAAUUCUUUUAAAUAAUAAGGCCUAUAUCCCAAUUGCCACCCAAAACGCAUCUCGCUUCUAAUCAUCAAGAUGACACUAGUCAACUCGUGACAAUUUCAUCUUAGGAACGAUUAGAAACACUCGAAAGCGUAGCGGAAGCAAAGAAAAGCAAAACUUCGAAAAGUUUGCACGAGAUAUUGAUCUCAAACACUACCAAAUCAUUACUUGACUAAGCAUGCUUGAAAUAAUUAAUUAAGAAUUAAGCAUGAUUAACAAAGUGACAAAACUACUGAACAAGUAGCUAAUAAACAAGGUAGCACAGAUUAACUAGUAAUAAUUAACUAGCUCAAGUGAUAAAUUAAUAAUUGCAUGAAUUAAAGAACCGAGCAACCAAAGAAAAGCAACUGGGCUGCAGCUUGCUCACCUUGCUGGGCCGCUUGCACACUGCCACGGAAGAGCUCCUAGCUGCUGUGCUGAUGGGCGAGCCUGGUGCUGCACGGACCGGUGUGCUGGGCCGCCUGGCUCCGGCCUGCUACGUUGACAGGUCUGGAUCGCUCGAGCCUAGCCACGGCCUACUGGACUGCUCGGCCGCGCGGCUCCCUCCGGCGUGGCUGGGCUGCCUGGCCACCCGCGCUGGGCCGCCUGCCUGGUCAGCUGCUGCGCAGGCCAGGAAUUUUUUUAUUUUUAUAUUAUAAUAAAUAGUCGAAUAAAAAAUUUGUAAAAAUAGACGUUCGCUGCCGGAUCAAAUGGUGGUAAGAUCGCUUUUGCCGUAUGAAACGGAGGAAGGGUACCGGCCGCCACGUGCUGCCCUCCCUCGCCGGCUGAAAUGGUGGUAAGGACUCUUCCGCCAUUUCAACCAGUGAGGCAGCCCGGGUUGGCGACCUAUAGCCGGUUGAAACGGCUAUAACGACCCCUUCAGUUAUUUUCCCUUCAUUUUUCUGACUUUUAUCAAUUAUUUUUCCUUUAUUGUUUUAUUAUUUCAAUUAUAUAGUUGUAUCGCAAUACUUAACUUAGUAAUUUGAGGUUAUACCUCUAUCUUGAAUAUUGUUCCUUUAAAUUUUUAUAUGACAUUUUUUUAGAGAGGUAGAGUGAUUGCACGAAAUCAUUGAAAAUCAUGAAAUUCCGGCCUACGUAAAGUAGUCUGUGGAUACAAUUGUACAAUCAUGCGCGUUACAAUUGUACACAUGAUAGCUUGUACCGGCGUACAAAAGAUAAAAGAGGUCCUACAUACUAAAUGUGUUCUCGCUUGAAACGAAGCUGCCACCUCCCCCUCCCCGACCACGACCACGCCUCGCUGCCCACUGCGCUGCUCUGGUCUGCUGCUGGUCGUACGUCAAGAGCUCUCGUGGGGCAACGUUGCAAGGCGGACGUCCUACUGCGGCUGCAGAUGGUGUCCCGAGCUCCUGGGUCGCGUCCUGUGUAGGAGCCUUCGGGGCCUCACGCAACUACGAGGCACCGAUCACGUCAGGCUUAGGUCCGAAAAGAUUGUCCACCCAUGCAUGGAAGCCUGACAAGAUUGUCCACCCAUGCAUGGAUGUUGGACCUCUGUCCCUCCUCCUCGACGGAGUCCUCCGGAGCCUCUCCGUGGUCUGCGAACCCUGUUAUGCAACUAAGGAAAUGAUAUUGUUGGUUUCGUUGCAUAUUUAAAAUGGAAUAGAAAACAUGUAUUCGUUGUGCACCGAAGCGGUGUAGCUCUAUGCCUGGUGGUGCUAAAGAAGGCCCCGCUCCACUGUAAGCUCCGUACAUCUGCGGGCUGUGUUAAUAAAUUAUUAUUUAGUAAGGUGAAUUGAAAAAUAUUUCGUAAAUGGUGUACGACAAAAUAACGUACCGAAAGUGCAUUUCAAGUUUACCCCAAGAUGUGAUAAGAUGGUAUGGAUGUAAAAGUUUCUAUGCACCUUUUUUUAUAGGUACCUGGUAAUAAUCGAUGACAUUUGGCAUUGGGAAGAAUGGGAAGUCAUCCGAAAAGCUCUUUCCAAGAAUAAUAUGGGCUCUAAAAUAAUCAUGACGACUCGUGUCAAGGCUUUAGCUGACAAAUGUCGAACUGAACAAGGUGCACAUGUGUAUACACAGAGUUUUCAUCACGAGGACGCUAAAAGACUAUCAGACAUGAUACUGAACAAGUCUGUCGGAAGAGACAUACUUGAAGCCAAUGCGGAGUGGCUACCCAGAAAGAUUGUGCAUACGAGUGGUUUGAUGCCACUAGCAAUAAUCUGUUUGUCGUCAGCAUGGGCAGAGAGCCAUGGGCAAGACGACGACUAUGGGGAAUAUUGGUAUAUUUGGGUAAGUGAAGUGCUGAUGGAUAGGUUUCUGAGUACUCCAUCCUUGAAACCACUACUCCAGAGUUUAUGCCUUGUUUUCGACGAUCUUCCCGUUGAGCUGAGGACUUGCUUGCUGUACUGCAGCAUAUACCCUCUGGGUUACUUGAUUCAAAGGGGUUGCUUGGUCAGAAAAUGGAUACCCGAAAGAUUUGUUUCGCAACAAGAAGUAUCAGAAGCUUACUUUGACAAGCUUGUUUCUAGGAAUCUAUUGCAGCCGGUACCCAAAUACCAGAUCUUUUACAUUUCCACCCCAUAAUGAUAGCCUUCCUUGUAUGCAGAGCAAAAGAAGAUAAUUUUGUUGCUUGUCGGCAGCACAACAAUGGCCGCGGUAGCUCCUCGCACGCCAAACAGAUCCGUCGCCUUUCUCUCGACACGGAUUGCAUUCCAGAUGAGGAUGUAGUAUCUCAUAUUCGCUCCCUUGCUGUUCUUAGUGACCAACCCCACAUUGGUGUCCCCUUGAAGAAGUUUAAAAACCUGCGAGUGCUAGAAAUUGACAGCUGUAAACGUCUAGAGAACUUUUCUCUGGUGGAUAUAUGCGGGCUGAUCUGGCUGCGGUAUCUGGGUCUCAACGGCUGCCUUGAAAUCACAGAGAUCCCACGGGAGAUUUGGAGACUGCAGAAUCUGGAGACGCUAGAGGUGAGGAACACAGGUAUUUGUAAACUACCCAUGGAAAUUGGGACACUGGUGCAUUUAAGGACUCUGAAUGUAAGUGGCACAAUGGUCACAGAGGUUCCAAGGGAAAUCACCGGACUUUCUCGUUUGGAGAAUCUGGAUGUAAGCUCGACAGGGCUGAAAGAGUUGCCUAAGGAAGUAGGAAAACUACAGGAGUUGAGGACUCUGGACAUUAGAGUGACUAAAGUCAGAGAGCUACCCCGCAGGGAAAUUCCAAAUUCUUUUUUAAGUGUGGUCGGCCACUUUGAUUCGAGUUCUGGUCGAGUGGUGAAGUUGCCUCUGGGUGUCUUCAGAUCAAGUGGUGAUGAACAGGUUAUUUCCUCUUCUGGAGCAAAUUUCAGGGAGAGCCUAUCCAUCCUCGUGCUCUUUAAUCAUCUCUACAAGAGGUGUGAAGUUCUUCCAGUUCCGAUGCAUAGAGUUGCCGGGAGACACAUGAAAGUCCCGCAGUGGGUCAAGCAAGACUUGUGCAAUGUCUGCUCCUUAGAUAUCAGUCUCUGCAAACUGGUGGAGGAAGACCUCGAGUUUCUGAAGACGCAGAUGCCCAACCUGCAGGCUCUCCAACUAAGGUUCGAGGUCCUCCCACGGGAGCCGGUUGCCAUCACUGGUGGAGGGUUCUUGAAGCUAGAGACGUUCUACGUCGAUUGCCGUCUGCCACGGGUGAUCACCUUCUGGGAAGGAGCGAUGCCGAAGCUGAAACAUCUUGAGUUCAAGUUCUACACCGGCACGGCAAGGCAACACUACUCCAUGGGAAUCAGGCAUCUCGACAGCCUUGAGAAGGUCGUGUUCCGAUGCUCCGAGUACUAUACAAGUCACGGUCCGGGCAUCCGCGAGACAAUUGAUGUACUGAGAAAAGAAGCUGCGGAGCAUCCCAACAAGAUCACCCUUUGGGUCAAUAACAUGAAACCUGAGGUUUUCCUCAAGACAAUUGAUGUACCCUUUAAAGAAUGGAAACGUGAACAACGUCUUCGACUAUCGACGGCAGCAGAGGUGCGAGCUCAGCGGGACAAAAACAACGCAAGGGCUGGAACUGAAAAGAAAAUUCAAGAAAGGAAAAGCAAUCUUGAAAUCAGGGAACGACGAUUGAGGGAAGCAGAGCGCUACUAUAACAUAUAAUAAUUGCUGCAAUAAUGGAUUUACGUUUUAUGCACUUGUUCGCUGGGCCUAAACAAAAACAUAUUAUAUCUUUUUUUUUCAAAAUCGGACCUUCCUUCUCCAUGACUCUAUGUGACAUUAUCUGUACGCACACUUGAUUGUCAUUAUUUUUCCAGUUUAGUUUCUCUUCGUCAUAUGCAGCGCUAGCUUGCACCAUGCAUGCGCACACUAAACAUUCCGUAUGCCUUGUUCCUAGCAACUUAUCCGUCCAAUCAUUCAGAUAAAAGUCGUCACCAUGUGAGUAUGAUUCACGCUAGUGAUCCAGUUCUGUUAAUUAUUUGCUUCCGUAUUAAAUAGAGUUUUAAAAUAUUUAAAGUUCAUUAAGUAAUAAACUAAGGGAAAAAACCGAACUGAAUUUAUUUAAUAACACUUGGAAGCUGUUCUAAGAGGGAUAGAGGGAUAAUAAAUAACUUAAUUUGAAAUUAUGUAUUUCAAAAUAUGUAGCACUUGAUCUUGUAAAUAUUAAACUAAACCUUAUAUAGUGUGCUUGUUGAGUUUCGUAACAUUUAAAGUUCAAACGCUAUUUUUAUUGAGAUGUUCCAAGUAGGUAUAUUUAACUAAACCCUAAGCAGGAUAUAGGAAUAAUAAAUAGCCUACUCUAAAAUUUAGAAAUUUCAAAAUAUAUGGCACUUUGGAACAUGCACACCAUAGUGUCACGCAAUGAAAAUAUUUGUUUGGAGGGGUUGUUUUUAAAAUAUUAUUAAAAAUGGUUAAAUUAAAAAAAUUUGCUUAUGUUUGGUUCUGCUCUAGGCAUGGCCGCAAUGUGCGAAUCCUCUCUCUGUUGGAGGGAUUGGAUGGAUGCUGCCGAUGAGACAAGGAAUUGAAACGGGCCAAAAUAAGUUCUCCUAUGAAGCGGGUCUGGGCCUAGUCAUCUCCGCCUGAGUGAACAGGGCUGCCCGCCAGUCCAAGAAUGAAACUCUCUCUGCACUGGGGUCGCAGAAGAAGAUGACGCGUGCAGCCGCGUCAAUGCUUUUCUGUUUUGCAUAUAUACCUCCUCAUCAAAAUACUGUGUACUGAUCCAUAUAAGCACGUAAAAGACUAAUCUAAUAAAAAAAGACAGCACAAUUAUUCAACUUGUCGCGAUCAGAUAAUUAUGCACAGCGCAAUUAUUAAUCGGAAUGGGUCUAUCGAUUAUUCGAUUUGCAAGAUGGCGCUGCUCGAGGAAAGCAUGACCGGAUUAUACCUAGCAUCCUGAACGGAAAAUGGUGGUGCAGAUGCUGAUGCAGAGCACUCUGCCUUGACAUGGAAUGGUACAGAGCUGAGCUCCCGUCUCGGAUUAGUUCCCUUCUCGGAUUUGUAUCUCGUGCGCAGGAGCCUGAGACCAGAUCGAAUUCGUUUCGGCUUCAAGCGGGCCUGGCCCUGGUCUUCUGUCUAAGGCCCGCUUAUAUAUAGAAAGAUAAAAAACGCAAUGAUCUUGGAUUCUUCGUUAAAGCUAACCCUCAGGAGAUCGUCAUCAGGUACCAAAAAGGGUCAAGUUAAAGAUUUAAGGUAAUUCUUCCUGCCUCCUCAUCAGAUGAAAUUUAGGUGCACAGCUUGACGGUCCCCAUGUUCUCACUUGGCCUUGUGCUGCCGUCACUUUUGUUCAGUGUUUUCCAUCUUCAGCUCAUCUGUACACAACUACAGACAUUAGUUUGACACUUUUUGCUAUCCUUGCACAACUGGCGGCAUAAUGAACGCUCCAGUAGUGUUCUUGUGCAGUCACACAGCUAGUGCUUCAUUCAUGUAUUUAUAACCCCAACAAACACUGGAACGAUGUAGCUAGCAGCUCCAGCCAUACAUGAUAGAACGCGAAACACUAAUCAAUAAACAACCAAAAAAAAAACCUCAGCCUAUUUUGGUCGAACACAACAUCUAACCACAAAUUAUUGUCGCCUUCCGAUCCCCGGUCCGUCGCCACCUCCCCGGCCGAAUGAAGAGGCACUCGAUGCUAAGACUGUUGACGAAGAGGCACUCGAUGCUCCCACUGCUACAAAAGCUGAGGUUAAAACAGAACCUGAGAAUCGGGAGGAUGAGAAAACUAGCAAGCAUUUAGGGAGGAGCAGUGCUAGUUCGAACCAAGGAAGCACGAACGGUUAUGCCUCAGCAGCACCAGGCCUUAACGAACAGGAAGCCAACUCUGCAUUGAAAAUCAUGCACGAGUUAUCUGAUCAUCAGUUGGAGCAAAUAGAGAAGCACCUGGAUUCCAGCACCCAUGUUGCUGCCGUGAACUGUCCACAGCAAACUCAAAUGGUUAUGGUUUCCAUGCCUGGCUAUACUUUGGGAGAACACGCAGGUCGCAGCCAAAGGCAGUACCACGUCGAUGGUCAGGGGAACAUGUGGAUCAACUACGCCGCGAACAGCCACAUGGAUGGGAGAGUCAUGACACAGGCGGCGGGUCUGCAAACUGCGCAUUUGUUGCCAGGUCCCGUCUCCGUCCCCGUGCCUGUUCCUGAGAACAACUUGGCAGGUGUUGAAGUUGGUCCAGCUCCAGGAUGGAAAUGGGACACCGCUGAACGCGUACUGAUAUGCGACAUGGGCGAUGCCCCAGGUCUCAGACUGCCAGAAGAGGUGCUGCACCCCCGACUUUUUUUUAUUUUGACCCUUUUUGCGAAAAAAUUUCAUAAAUAGGUCCCUGAUGAAACCAAUUCCAAAAAUGGACCCUUAGCUUGGCACCAGGAUGGCUGGCACCAAGCUAUAACGUUUGGCGCCAGCCUCCAUGGCGCCAAGGUCCGCGCACCGCGCCUCCACCGUGGCGCCUGGCCUCUGACGUGGCGCAAAGGUUUGGCGCCAAGAUCUAUGGCGCCAGCCUUGGCGCCAUAGAUCUUGGCGCCACCGACGCCAAGCCUUUUAACUACGGCGCCACCCUUCCUUUACGCGGCCCUUUCUUUCUUCCACCAUUCCACGACUUAGUUGCGCCGCCACCACCGUCCGCUCGCGUCGCCGCCGCCCCGCCUGCCCCCACCCCCGGCCAGCUCAAGCGCCCGCCGCCGCCCGCGCGGAGAGGAGGCCGGCCGGCGCCCGAAGCCGCCCCCGACCGUCGGCGCCGAGCUCACCCUCGAUCGGCCGGCUGUUGCCGCGCCUGGCGCUCGCCCCGGUUGCUCCUGCGCCCGUCGCCGACUUGCUGGAAGGCCGCCCGCUGACCGCCNNNNNNNNNNNNNNNNNNNNNNNNNNNNNNNNNNNNNNNNNNNNNNNNNNNNNNNNNNNNNNNNNNNNNNNNNNNNNNNNNNNNNNNNNNNNNNNNNNNNNNNNNNNNNNNNNNNNNNNNNNNNNNNNNNNNNNNNNNNNNNNNNNNNNNNNNNNNNNNNNNNNNNNNNNNNNNNNNNNNNNNNNNNNNNNNNNNNNNNNNNNNNNNNNNNNNNNNNNNNNNNNNNNNNNNNNNNNNNNNNNNNNNNNNNNNNNNNNNNNNNNNNNNNNNNNNNNNNNNNNNNNNNNNNNNNNNNNNNNNNNNNNNNNNNNNNNNNNNNNNNNNNNNNNNNNNNNNNNNNNNNNNNNNNNNNNNNNNNNNNNNNNNNNNNNNNNNNNNNNNNNNNNNNNNNNNNNNNNNNNNNNNNNNNNNNNNNNNNNNNNNNNNNNNNNNNNNNNNNNNNNNNNNNNNNNNNNNNNNNNNNNNNNNNNNNNNNNNNNNNNNNNNNNNNNNNNNNNNNNNNNNNNNNNNNNNNNNNNNNNNNNNNNNNNNNNNNNNNNNNNNNNNNNNNNNNNNNNNNNNNNNNNNNNNNNNNNNNNNNNNNNNNNNNNNNNNNNNNNNNNNNNNNNNNNNNNNNNNNNNNNNNNNNNNNNNNNNNNNNNNNNNNNNNNNNNNNNNNNNNNNNNNNNNNNNNNNNNNNNNNNNNNNNNNNNNNNNNNNNNNNNNNNNNNNNNNNNNNNNNNNNNNNNNNNNNNNNNNNNNNNNNNNNNNNNNNNNNNNNNNNNNNNNNNNNNNNNNNNNNNNNNNNNNNNNNNNNNNNNNNNNNNNNNNNNNNNNNNNNNNNNNNNNNNNNNNNNNNNNNNNNNNNNNNNNNNNNNNNNNNNNNNNNNNNNNNNNNNNNNNNNNNNNNNNNNNNNNNNNNNNNNNNNNNNNNNNNNNNNNNNNNNNNNNNNNNNNNNNNNNNNNNNNNNNNNNNNNNNNNNNNNNNNNNNNNNNNNNNNNNNNNNNNNNNNNNNNNNNNNNNNNNNNNNNNNNNNNNNNNNNNNNNNNNNNNNNNNNNNNNNNNNNNNNNNNNNNNNNNNNNNNNNNNNNNNNNNNNNNNNNNNNNNNNNNNNNNNNNNNNNNNNNNNNNNNNNNNNNNNNNNNNNNNNNNNNNNNNNNNNNNNNNNNNNNNNNNNNNNNNNNNNNNNNNNNNNNNNNNNNNNNNNNNNNNNNNNNNNNNNNNNNNNNNNNNNNNNNNNNNNNNNNNNNNNNNNNNNNNNNNNNNNNNNNNNNNNNNNNNNNNNNNNNNNNNNNNNNNNNNNNNNNNNNNNNNNNNNNNNNNNNNNNNNNNNNNNNNNNNNNNNNNNNNNNNNNNNNNNNNNNNNNNNNNNNNNNNNNNNNNNNNNNNNNNNNNNNNNNNNNNNNNNNNNNNGGGUUUGGCGCCCGCCGCCGCUCGCCUGAGGCCUUGCCCGCGAGGAGAGGAGGCCGGCCGGUGCCCGAAGCCGCCCCCGACCGGCCCGCUCAAGCCCGCCCCCGACCGCCCGGCCGCCGCCCCGCCCGUCCUCGCCCCCGGCCGGCUCCAGCGCCCGCCGCCGCCCGCCAGAGGCCGCCCGCCGCCGCCCGCGCGGAGGCCGGCCGGUGCCCGAGCCCACCCCCGCUGUUGUGCCCCUCCGGCCGGGCCCCCGCGCCCGUCCUGCCAGGAAGGCGGCCGCCUCGCCUAGGCCCCCACAGCCAGCCCACCAGGAAGGCGCCCACCUCCGGCCAGAGGCUGCCCGCGGCCUCCCCGCCCCCGACGUUGUGCGCCCUCCCUGCCCGGCGCCCGACCUCCGCCGGUGUGAAGGACUCAGGUAGAAUCUAGCUAGAAUUUAGAUUGUUAGGUAGAAUUUAGAUAGGUAGAUGAAAAUAGUUAGAUAGAUAAAUUAGAAUUAGAUUGUUAGGUAGAAUUUAGAUAGGUAGGUAGAAUUGGUAGAUGAAAUAGUUAGAUACAUAAAUUAGAAUAGUUAGGUAGGAUUGUUAGAUAUGAAAACUAAUUUAUUUUGGUAACUUAUUUUUAUUUUUAUGAAUUGCAAUGAUAGAAGGAAUAGAGAAUGCUUGUGACACUAUUUAACUAGAUGGAUGUCCAAUUUUGUUUACGUAGUUAGAUGUAUAGUUAGUUACAUAGUAAACUAGUUAUUAUGAUAUUUUGUUAAGUAGUUGCACAUAUUAGGUGAUAUAGUUAGCUAGUUUUAUGAUAUAGUUAGCUAGUUGUAUGAUAUAGUUAGUUAGUUGUAUUUAGUAGUUAGUAGUCAAUUGAUACUAUCUCAUUUCAUACUAGAGAUCUUGUACUUAGAAUGCUUCAUUUAUUAUGCACUAAAUGAAUUGUGCGUCGUUAUAUUGAUGUACUAGAUGGAGAACGUAGUGAGCAUAUAUCACGGAGGCACCGUGGAAAAGGAUGAAUAUGGAUGUGUUAAGUUUGUUGCCAUGCAGUGCGAGGUUGUGAUAUUUGAUGAGAAACCUUCGUUUAGUGAGUUGCUUUCAAGGGCUCGGGAGGAGCUACAUUGUCAUGGAGAUGAUGAAAUCACAGUCGAGGGCAUACUUCACCUAGGUUCCCCUCUCAACAUUCAAAAGAAGAUGGUCCCAAUUCGGUGUGCAGGCCAGUGGGAAAAAUAUGUGAGAACGGUUAUGAAUGGUCAUUCCCCAAGUGUUGAAGUGGUUGUUUGUCGGGUGGGAGUUGAUCCAAAUCCUUGUCGGUUUUCCCGACCAAUGGGUCAACUGGUACACUUCGAUCCUCCCGUCCCAGAACCUGUUAUGGACGUGGAUGUUGCACCUACUAUUCCCGAUGUUGAAUCUGCCUCCAAUGAAGUAGUUGGACAUGGUUGUCGGAUUGUUGAUGAUGUGGCGAUGCCCCGGUUCUCAGUACUGCCAGAAGAGGUGCUGCACCCACUCAGAAUGCGCUUAGGGUCGGCCAAAUGGAUGUGAUGCUCGGCGUGCAAGCCACGGGAGGCAUGGCGUACGGAGCUGCCACUGCUGCUGUGAACCCUGAGGUCUUGUACCACGCAGGUCCGGAGCUUGAGCAGCUGAACCCUGCAUGGUUCCCCCACGUCCAGCACGACGGCAUGCACCACCACGGAGGAAGCGGUGGCACCGGCGUGUACUUGCUGGGGAUGGACGGUGGCGCUGGCGCGCACGCUCACGGCGGCGGCGGCUAUAUGACUGGACCACCAAUGGUAGGCCCCGUGCACCCUGAGUAUGAGCUGAUGCCUGCAGUUGUGUCCCCUGUUGCUGUCUGGAGCGAUGGGGGGAGCGCCAUGGUGCCUGCAUUAGGGCAUCCGGCUGAGACUUGGGGACCGGCGUACGUGGAGCACGUGUACUAUGCCUGAUCGCCUGAUUUGCAGUUGCAACGCUUGUCGCAUUGUCUGAAAAUUAGCAUCUCUUGUUGUGUUUUGCACUUUUGCUUGACUCACAACUCUGCCCUGGCUAUGCUUGGAGGCUGUACAACUCUGCCCUGUCUAUAUCACUUUGUCUAUCAGCGAAUGUGCGGCGCGUGAAUGUUUCGGAGCAUCUAUUGCGUAUGAUAUCUUUAACGAUUUGGAGUUGGAGCAUCCGUUUGCUCUGUUUUUUUUCUUCCAACUUCAAUUCAGUCUUGUAACGACGCUGCAGCGUGCUCGCUUCUAGGAUGGAUUCUGUGUCACCUUUGCGGCCUUAUCAUGUAUGGUACCUGAACGAAAUUCGUGUGCUAUUUUGUUAGCUGAAUUAUCGUGAAGAAGCAGAACGAACCUAGGUAAAAGCCGGGGCAUUCCUUUGGCCGGAAUCUGAAACGGGAACCGGGGCAUGGCCAGAGGCUUCGGUGCAGAGCCCAGCUUCGACGCAGCGAAUACCUACCCCCCCAGCUCGACUCCGGCGUCCGCUCGUGGCCGCCGGCGUGACCAGUGACGAUGUGGGCCAGCACAUAUAAGCACGGGGCGUUGCGAGGCGGCAUGGGAAUGGUUACAGAGUGGAUCGAUUGAGCACCACAGCUCCCAUCCCCACAUGUAAGAAUUAUUGCUAUCAAACAAAUGUAGUAACUAUGGAUAUAUGAGGGCAUGCGAGUGGAUUCUGUGAAGCUUGAAGGCGUAUUGAUCAGUUGAUUUUGUCAUGCUCAUCCACAGAGAGGAACAAAUACUUCAAGAAGCUUGUGUGGUAGUUCUGCUAAUUAAGGAUACAUCAUCUAAUUUUCUGGACAUGGUCAGGAGGGUAGUCAUCUACACUCUCCAGCUGAGUUUUUGUCAGUUAUUGUCAUAAAAAUAUGAAAAAAGUUGGGAAGUUGAACCUUUUUCCAACAUCUCACCGCAAGCGCAUGCGACAACUGCUGAAGUCCAGGUAUGUAGUAGUCAUUCUACAAGUGCUGAAUGUGCCCUGAGAUCUUUAUAAAGAUGAACCAGUACUUUGCACUUUUUUUAGAAACUUGCACAAAGUCUAAUUGGAUAUUUGGGGUAGGCAAGUGUGCAUUAAUGAUAAAUUUGGAUUCGAUUAAUGGAAGGUAAAUAUUACCUUAUCUCCCAAAACAAUGAACAUGCCUGUUAUCAUGGGCAUUAGGCUAGUCCCAAUGCAAGGUUUCAUUGCACUAUUUUCAAGGAUGCCACAUCAUCUCAUGAGGUGUAUUCUCAUGAAUGAAAUCGGGAGUCCCAGUGCACAGUUUCAUUUCACGAUUUCAUAGGAUGCCCAUGACAUUUAAUUGUGAGGCAUGUGAUUGGAUAUGGUUAGAUAAAAUGAAACUCUAUAGCCCCCAAUGCAAGUUUCAAUAGGUUUCAUAGUCUUGGAAACAGUGUAUACACAGUUUCAUCCUGAUGAAACUCCUUCCCUCUCUCACUUCAUAACUAUUAUGCCAUGUCAUCAUAUAUGCUGAUGUGUUACCGUAUUUAAUGUGCAUGAAACCUCUAUGAAACUCCCACUGGGAUUAGCCUCAGGAUGAAACUGUGUAUACACUGUUUCCAAGACUAUGAAAUGUCAUCUCUGGAUGAUGCAACCAAAUUAAUGUAUAUAUGUCCGGUAAUUAACGUUGUGUUUAAAUUUUUUCGGUGCCGGCAAAACAAGGCGUCUCCAAAAGGUAUGUCUUUUAGUCACCGUGUCACUGUAACAUUAAUCAGUUUAACAUUCAAAUGAGUGAAGGGCAUCUUAGCAUGGUAAUUUCAUGCCUACUUGGCACUUUUGGCAACGUGCAAGAGUUUUUUUGUCUUCGAUUCCGGAGCCAUACUAGCGCACGCGAUCCGUGGGCCUCGCAAUUCUAUGCAUAUAUUAAGUAAGGUACAGGCACAGUUGCUUUUCAAAAAGCAACUGCUCUGCAAAUAAUCGUUGAUGACUUCACCAAGUCAACGUCUUCGUCUUAGCCGGGCGCUCAUUCCACUAGCAAGGUACUAAGCAGUCAUCUCUAGUCCAAAACUCAAGUAUCCUUGCUGCUAUCAGUGAUCCCUGCUUGUUUGCUUUCUCUUUUUGACCUUUUCCAAGUCCAAAUGCUCCACAUGCUUUGCCUGAAAGAGGGCACUGCUUGGAAUGUGGACUUAUUGUAUGGACAUGUUGCCUCGGCCAUUCCACUAAACAAUGAUUUUUAUGAAAAAUCCCAAAAGGUGUGAGUUUUCGUGUUAAGUCUAAAAUGAACCUUCGCAUAGUCCCAGGUCUGGUCAGCACAGAUUGACGACUGUGAGGGUCGGAGACCCUAUUGAUAUAUUUGCUUCGUGCAAACUUUCCUGGGGUAAUAUCCGCGAGGCGUAUGAUAGUAACCUUAUUUGGAUCCUAGUAUAUUUGUGGAUGGACCUUGAUAUAUAGCUAGUAAACACUAGUAGGGUCAGCAAAGCAAUACAAUUAAUGCUCAUGUGUUAUGAUUCCUUCUACUACUUGUUUAAGACUCCAUGACACUGAAGAUAAUUUUAGGAUGUUCAUUCCAUAUAUACCCACUUGCCACACUUUAGCACAACCUGUAUGACCUUUAACCUAAUCAUGCGACAGAAUGAUCACUUUAUAGCACCAAACUGAAAUUUGAUACAUUGACCUCACAGAAGUCGUCGUCUAAUCCUGAGGCUGAAUCGACUUAACCUUUAAAUACCACCCCAUCAGUACUGGUUCAAUAUGGUAUUAUAUUUGUAGUUUGAUUAAUGGCACAUAUAGUAUUACGUCUUGGAAUGAUUGAUGGACAUACGGAUAGUUUUGUAUGUAUAAGGUUGUUGAAGUGAUAAAAAUAUUAAGUCAUCGUGCAUAUACAACGGUCGGUAAAGACAUCUCGAACGCCAAAAUCAUCAAUCUUUUGUGUGUGUUUGUGUAUAUAUAGUACUUUAUUACAUCUUUGUAAUAUCAUCAGAUUAAAUCUAGCUUUGUCCAUAUAGUCUCCAAAAGGCAUGUCUAGUCAUGGUCACUCUAACGAAACUACCUGCACGGUGAAGUCUUCAAGCCCUGAGUCGCUACGAGAGCCUCCGAUCAGUGAGCCUCGCAAGUCUAUAUACCCAAUCAUGCAUGCGAUAGGUCGAAUGCCACUAUAGUUAGCACUUUAUAUAACCAAACUGAAUUUGAUACCUUGAGCUAUGGUUAGUUUACACCUAAUCCCAAGGUUAAGUACCACCUAUACCUAGGUUCAUUGCAUUUUUCCACGAGCAAAGUACAGCGUUAACAAAUUGAGUGUUUUGGAAUCAAUGCUCCACGCAUCUCUUCAAGUUGAAGGGUGGCUUCAACUUGUGCCGUGAGCAAGUUUAUUUAAUGAACUAAGUUGAAACACUGCAUCAACCGGCGUGGACGCACACCAUGGUACGAGCAGGAAGACUUGAAGGUUACCACCGUGGACCAGAUCUGGCACUGCAAGGGAAAUCUGCUCACCGAUGAUCGGGGUAAUGCGCUCAAGGACUUGUGCCUCUCUAUGGCACUCUCAAAGAUGCUCAACCGAAGGUUUGAUGGGUUCAAGCUCUCUAAGGCAGAGCUUCAGAAAACCCAUGACUUCGUCUUCAAAGGCCUUCUCGCCGGGGACGAGCCACAUCUGCGGGCCUUCAGGGUUAUUGAGGAGGAGCUUGUUUUUGUCCAUGACAUGUAUUACACAAGGUACUCUUACCUUUACCAAAAGGGUAAAUACCUGGCUCUCUGUCUGCCUGUCAUCAUGAUUGCCCUAUGCUCGUGGCUCACAGUAGCCUGCCUGGACGUCAAGUAUCAGGACGACCGUUAUCGCAGUAAUCAUGGCAAGCGCAGUCUGAUGUCUGAAACCAUAGUCAUAAUGGUUGUCUUGGCAUUCCUGGAGGUAUACCAGCUGUACCUGUACAUAGCCUCAGGUUGGUUUAAGGUGGCACUGAUACGGAGCUACGUCGCCGCACCUUAUUUCCAAACAAGCUGUUUCUCCGAGAUGAUCAUACGUCUUCUCUUGAUAUGGAAGGCGUUUCGCCCAUGGAAGGGCAGACUUGGGCAGUACUGUUUCCUGGAAAAUCUUGGCCGCAGAAGUAAGCUUAUGAGUUGUCUCCAUUAUGGUACACUGGGCUUGCUGGACAAGGCCAUGAAGGGAAGGAAGAAUUCAGUGAAGCUGUCCGAAGAUGUGAAGAAAGCCAUCAUUGAUUCCCUACUAGAAAGCAAUGGAGUCCUGACGAACGGCGUAACAUCGCUGCAAAAGAAUGGCGUCCAUGAUGACCUCAAAUGGCCAUGCGAUGCCACGGCUACUGACGGAGCGGUGGCUCGCACCAUUGUGGUCUGGCACAUUGCUACAACCCUGUGCGAGCAGAAGCUGGAUAAACAAGCCAAAGAAGAAGACGCUGUCAAAACAGCCUCCACUUUAUCCAAGUACUGCAUGCAUCUCCUUGCUUUUGCACCUAACCUCUUGCCCGACCACAGCUCCAUAUCGGAAUCCAUACUUGAUCAGUCAAUCGAUGAAGCAAGCAAGUUACUCAAAGAGGGCAAGAACAAGAAGAUCAAGGGCAAGGACAAGAAGAUCAAGGGCAAGAACAAGAAGAUUUUGGGAAGGUGUGAGAUACUAAUGGAAACUACUAAUACCGAUGGUUGUGUUGAUGAUGAAACAAGGCUUGUUGCGCAGGGCGUUCACCUUGCAAGGCAACUGAUUGAUAACAUACAAGACUCCACAACAAGGUGGAAGGUGCUAUCUGAUUUCUGGGCGGAGAUGAUGCUGUAUGUCUCGCCAUCCGAUGAUGCUCGGGACCACCUGGAAGUUCUUGCAAAAGGAGGGGAAUUCAUCACGCACCUUUGGGCGCUGCUCACGCAUGCCGGUGUGCUGAAGAGAGGCCCUACAGAGCCAAUAGAUGCUGUCUGAUCUUUCCAACUUAACCAGUGCACACGUAGCAGUCCAUAUAUCUACCUAGUGCUUGUAACAUUCUAUGUAUAUUGCCAACUGUCAUGUUUGGACACACCAACUUGUGGCACACCAUGUGUGAGUUAGUCUACCGAGGUCUGUAUCUCUUUUCAUGUCGAGUCUGUAUCUCUUUUGAUGUGGUGUCUGUUGUCAGAUUUUGGGCAGAGUAGGAUCUUUAGUAUCUGCAAGUUUUGUUAAGAAGAGCGCGCUUUCAGGUUGUCGGACAUGCGCUUUCAUAGUUUGUGAUUUUGGUGAUUAAUAUCAAAACACGAUCAUUAGGAGUGUCUAGAACAUGCCUUGAAGGUAUUCUAGGUUCUAAGGAAACAACCACAACCAAAGAUAAGAAAAGGAACGAAGAAAUCCAAGGAAACGGAUCAUCGGAUGUUCCGAUGGCCCUAGAGAUGGCGACGGAGCAAGCGUCGGAGUAAAUGGUACACUGCAAAGAAGUUCGGGCAGAGUCCACAAUCGGAUGUUCCGAUGGUUACAUUUCUAGUAGCGUCGGAUGAAUUCUGAGGGGUAGGCUUGAAAGCAUGUGUUGGAUGAUGUAAGCAUGCAGUCUUUGGAUGAUGCAACCAAAUUAAUGUAUAUAUGUUCGGUAAUUAAUGUUGUGUAUAAAUUUUUUUCCGUGCCAGAAAAACAAAGUGUCUCCAAAAGGCAUGUCUUUUAGUCACAGUCACUGUAACUGAAUUCUUUGCGUAGUUUGUUGUUGCUUAACUGCACACAUAAAUCAGUUUAACAUUCAAAUGAGUGAAGGGCAUCUUAGCAUGGUAAUUUCAUGCCUACUUGACACUUUUGCAACGUGCAAGACUUUUGUUGGUCUUCGAUUCUGGAGCCAAAGCUACUAGCGCACCCGAUCGAUGGGCCUCGCGAUUCCAUGCCAAAUCACGUGAUAGAAUGCCACUAGUUAGCACUUAUAGCACCAAACUGAAUUUGGUGCCUUGACCUAGGAUUAGUUUACACCCAAUAAUCCCAAGUUUUUUAUGUACCGCCAUAUAAAAUGCAAUUUAUUAAAACUGGUGAUGAAUGUGAUGCGACAAAAAUAUAGUACUUUUAUAUUGAUGUGUCAUCAACUUGGUGAUCAUUCCGAGUUUAUCAAGAUUCCAACCUUAGAGUUUGGAGGGGCUCUUUCUUCAAAGAUUAUUAACCCAGGCACGAUGGCAGACAUACAAUUAAUUACUGCAUGUGUUCUAGUCAGUAGGAUGGGUUAUCAGGUUUAUUAAAUACGUACUGAGGCGUAGCAUAUAUUGCAACUAGCAACAAUUUUAGCUUGUCAUCUUAAUUGUAUGUUUGCUUUCCAUGCAUUGUUCAUAUACCGUAUUUAGAUAGCAAAUUUUGCUCUUGCUCGUUUGAAGGUAAUCCUAUAUGUAUCCACGAGACAUAAAGUCGCUGAGCUUCGUCAGUCCAAAACGCACUAACUAGUUAGGUUGAGUGUUAGCAGUUUCCAUUGACAUACGAUCACCUAGUCUGGCAGCUAGAACGUGCGUGGAGUAAGAGUUAAGUAAGUUACAUACACACUGUUGUGACCCGAAACGUAUGAGAGUAGAUCAUCAUCAUUACAGUUGGAUGGAACUCUCUAUUUAUAGCCAUAGCGGCAGGCAUUUACAUUCCACAAAUGCCCCACCUCAACCACUAUAUUCCCGUUAUAUGCUCUACACAAUGGUCAUUUGGACAUCACGUUUUUUGUGCCACCUAACAGUUCCCUGAUUGACGCUCACUUAUCACCUCCGCGAAUCUCGGUAGGGUUGUCCGCACCUUUUUCCGUGUUCUUCAUCGUCGACGGCGACUAACUAUGGCACCAAGUUUGUCAUGUUUAGUGAAUCUAGAUAAGGACCUGGAUGUAGAAGCAAUGAUCGAAGAUGAGCUAAAAAAUCUGUCUGACAGUACAAGAAGAGGGAGCAGGAUUACCAAUCUGAAAGAACAGAGUUAUAAAAGGUCAUCAGACCCGCUGUUGGGGCUAAGGAAGAUAGGGAAUGGAUCCCGCUUCUGGCCAUUAACAGAUGAGGUAAGCUCGGAAGAUGAGCUUGAGGAUGACAAUUCUGUUGAAAAUGGAGAGGAUGACAGCUAUGCUGAAAUUGGAGAUAAAAAACCCCAUCUGACUUCAAUGGGAUGUAACUCAGAAACAUUACCAAGUAGUAGGAGUAUGGUGAUGGGAUACAAAAUCAAAAUCCCACAUAGGGCUAAAGAGAAAGGCAGUGGUAAAACAAGAGUUACUAAUAAGAAAAUCAAAACAUGGAAAGGUCCAUUGCCAAAAAGAGAUCAAACACCGAAAUUGUCACUAGGGGACAUGUGGGUGAAGGAUCUUAGGACAUAUGUGCUGCCAAAAGAAAACAUACGUCUUAAUUCAUUCUUGGAUGGUGAAUCAAAAGUUCUGGUAGCCGAUGAAGUUUCUGUUGAAGAAAGCACAUUUGCAAAGGAUACAAAGGAGUUUGAAUUUCAAAAUGAACAGUUGGUUAACCUUCAAGGACCAAUAAGAUGGGUUGGAUAUACUGGUUUUGUACACGUGGGAGCACAUUCAGUUUUCCAAUGCAUUGAUAGUUUGGGACGACUCCUUAAAAAUGGAGAAUUGAGGUGGAGACCUCAACCCAAACACAACCACAAACAAAUUCACAGAACAAUCCCCUCGAAGAAACAGAAGAGGAACUAGCCUCGGCCCUCAAACAGCUAAAAGCAUUGAAGAAGGAGAGCAGAGGGAGGGAGAGGAUAAGGGACCGGAGGGCCGGUGCACUAAAUUUAAAAGCCGGAGGGAGGUGAGGCGCGGAUGAAGGUACCUUUUAAUACCGGGUGGGGGUUCCACCUGGUACUAAAGGGUCACCUUUAGUGCCAGGUGGAGCCUCCACCCGCUACUAGGGCCUUUAGAGGUGUUGGAGUGGACACUUGUUGUCAGUUUACACAAGAUCUCAUGGCCAAGCUGAACUUAGGAUAAAAAUUAAAUACAAAAAGAAAAAUAAUUACUCAUAGUUUCCUCAGCUUGAAUAUUUGCACUGAAAAAAAAAGCUUUCACGCUGUCAAGAGGGAGUGAAAAUGAUUAGUUCUGUCGGCUGUUGCGUAGUGCUUUAAUGUCAGCUGCUUAAAAAAAACAUGUUGGAUGCUGAUCUUUAUUAUCACAUAUUAACAGGGCAAGUGGUAGUAUGUUAUAAAGAUUAGUCGUGACAUCAUUAGGAAUGAGAUGAGUCCGCAGUUGGCUGAAGUUGGAAGCAAGGAAUUUGUGUAUGUAUAUGUGUGUGUAUAUAUAUAUAUAUAUAUAUAUAUAUAUAUAUAUAUAUAUANNNNNNNNNNNNNNNNNNNNNNNNNNNNNNNNNNNNNNNNNNNNNNNNNNNNNNNNNNNNNNNNNNNNNNNNNNNNNNNNNNNNNNNNNNNNNNNNNNNNNNNNNNNNNNNNNNNNNNNNNNNNNNNNNNNNNNNNNNNNNNNNNNNNNNNNGUUUGCAUCUGGAACCGCAGUUUCCAAUUCCGCCGCCGUAUGCCCCUUCGCCGGACGCAGCGAUGCCCAGGGGAGGACGAUGCCGCUGUCCCGCCGGAAGCAACGCCCAGAGGACGGUGACGCCGCGACCCCGCCAACGUCUACUGCGUCUUCUCGGCCAACGUGAAACGCCGUGCUGUCCUCACGUUCUACGAAGAAGACGUUGACGCCCUGGGGUGGUUCCGCGCAGACGAGCAGGGACGGCCGCCGCUGUUACCGUCGUAAACGCGAGGACUGCUGCCUGUGCAGUCAUCAACGAGGAGAGGGGCUCCCGCAGAUUUCAGAGGUGGGCAGCGGAUGGCAUCCUCGUCAACGAAGGGCUGCUAUGCAUUCAGUUUGGUCAGUCAAACAGCCACUUUCAUACAGCCACUUUCCAAACUUUGAGAUGUAAUUCAAAUAUUCAAACCGAAUUUGACUUGACAAAGAGCUACUUUCAAUUGUUGACUAUGUAUCAUAGAUCCCAUUUUGCAUGUUGAUGCCCAUCAUUUACAUAUAGAGUGCAUCAAAAUAUUGAGCCAACGUCAGACCAAUGUUCACUAUCUUGAGAGUCGGACUCCAGGGUUCAGACUACUGAAAGUGAAAGAGAUAGCCCAUGCAUCAGGUUGUAGUUGCAGUUUGAACGUACAAGUUCAGUAUGCAAUAGUAUGCAGGUAGUAUUAUCCAAUGUUCACUGUCUUAAUGUACGGUCUUCAGAGUGGGAAUGGUCAUUGCCAUUCAGUUUAGACAAUGAACUCUAGACAGUGCAACUUCCAAGCUUUGAGCUCCAAACAAAUUUUUUUCCAGAUUGUUGUUGUGUCAUUGAAUAUUUGUACAAACUCUGAAUCGACGAAAUACAGUUCUCUAAUGGAUAUGCAUUGUGUUGUUACCUUUCAGACCACCUUGCCAGUGAUGGGUUGUCGGAGGAUAUUGUUUGAAGAAGCAGGGCCGUCCGCGCCGAGUAGGGACUCUGCGGAUAGCCCUUCACCGAAAAGGCUGGAGAUGAACGACAUGAGAGUCGCCGUCGACGUGAGAAAUACAGAAGUGCCGGAAAGGUCACCGCCACGAUCUGAACCGUCCUAGCUGGGAGAACGAGACACUAUUGACUCCUGCAUCAAAGUUCCAGAGAUGUUGGAGAGCUCCAACACUGGAUUUCGAACUCUGCCCACACAGAUAGGUUGCCAGCAAGGGAGUAAUGAGGAUCAAACCAUUACAACGGGAAGACAGGGUGUUGUGUUCUCGCCUCCGGAUACUUUGAACGCAAACCAGAUGAUUGCUAGUGAAGAAGAAAUUCCACCACAAACACACGUAAGUGAUGCAUGAUAAAUCUUUGUUUGAAUUGUACAAAGCAGUGAUAUGCAUAGUUAAAAAGCACAAAUGCAUGAGAGUAGUCAGUGAAAAUUUAUAUUAUGUCAUAUCUUUAAGGCUGUGAUGAUAAUUGAAUUUUCUACGCAAAUAUUGAUUCAUAUGACGGUGCAUUAGUAUAUGAUGUUAAUUGAAAUUAAUGUUAUUUGAAGCAGAAUGAAAGCAUGGAUCCAAAUAUGGUACCCAGAGAAGGGAUGUCAUUCCACACGGAAGCUGAAGCAAAGGCGUUCUACAUGAGAUAUGCACAACUGGCCGAGUUCGGCGUGAAAAUGUGCAACAAGAAAAAAUUCUCUAGAGUGAUGAGGUGUAGCUGUGAAAGAAAAGGAGAUUUUUAUAAAGGUGAUGAGGCUCUGCGAGUACGGAACAAGACAACAAUGAAGACGAAGUGCAAAGCUCAUCUGAAGUUUACGAGAGUGUAUGACAGUGAAGGCAACGAAGUAGAUAUGAUUAUAGAAAAGGCAAACCUAUUUCACAACCACCUGUUGCAUACGCCUUUGAAAACCAAGAAAAUGAGGUCACACAAGAGCACGAAACUAGUACUUUAUCAAAUAAUUGAUGAAUUGUAGGAAGCCGGCGUGAGUACGCAAAGUAUAAAGAAUGUAUUGCAAAAUAUGCAUGGGGGUGCAGAGCUUGUUCCGAUAACAUCGCGGGACAUAGAGAACAUGUAAAAGAACCUCACACAGUUUGUUAUUCCUAAAUAGUAAGGUUCAUGCCAAGCUAAAGUAUAUAAUCAUUGGUGUCGUUAAUGAAAUGUACUUACAAUUUAGAAGGAUAAAAUGUUGAGUUUUUUUAACCUGUUUUACAGGAAGGCCACUAAUGUACGGGAAGAACACGCAAAUGACAUAAACAAGCUUAUUGAAUUCUUCAAGGAUUGUGAGGCUCAAAACCCACAGUUCCGAUGGGAACCCAAGCUGGACUCUGAAGGUGUUAUACACAGCUUAUUCUGGAGUCAUGCAAGCAUGCAGGGCAAUUGUGCAGAUUUUGGUGAUGCAAUGAGCUUUGACACAACUCAUAAGACUAAUAUUUAUGAGAAACCACUAGCAAUGUUUGUUGGAUCAAACCACCAUCUGCAGAAUACAUUGUUUGGAUGUGCAUUGGUAGGAGAUGAAACAGCUGAAACUUUUGAAUGGGUGUUCAAAGCAUUCAAAAAGUGCAUGGGACAAAGUAGAACAAGGUGUAUCCUCACAGGUAAUAUGUUCAUCAUUGAUGUUUAUGAUAAAAAUAUUUGAUACAUGAGCAUAUACAACAAUUUAGAGCAAUUAAAGAACUAACAAUGAUGAAUUUGCAUCUUGUGGUAGACCAAGACCAGGCAAUGGGAGUGGCGAUUGCCAAAGAGUUCCCAGGGGUUGUUCAUAAGAUUUGCAGAUGGCAUGUGGUGAACAAGCACAUGCCACAUCUAACCAACCUCUUUGGGAUGUAUGCGAAGAAAAAUUUCAAGGACAAAUUUUAUUCUGUGCUAAACCACCCACUCACCCCUGUGGAGUUUGAGGCCGCUUGGCAGGAACUAUUGGAUCAGUUCGACCUACAAAAGGAUAGCACUUUAGAUAGCCUUUACUGCCAGCGAGAACUGUAUGUGCCGGCAUAUUUCAAAGACCAAUAUUGUGGCCGGAUGGCAUCGACACAGAGAAGCGAGAGCUCAAAUUUUGUUCUAAAGAAGUGUUUUGUUGACAAGCACACGGCUUUGCACAGGUUCGCCAAAAAAAUGCUUGACUUCAUGCAUUCACGUAAGAUGAAGGAGUCUAAAGAGUCGUACCAUGGAACGGUAACGUAACCAGCGUGUCAAUUCAUAUUUAUGGAGUGCGUGUAUAAAGAUCAUUUCCCUUAACUAACUGUUGCGCUUGUACUGUGACAGAGCAAAAGGCUCACAAGAAGCAAGUGGCCAUUUGAAAUACAGGUUUCACGAAUUUAUACUAGAAAUGUGUUCAAAGACUUUGAAAAGAAGAUGAUCGAUUGCACAGUUUUCGAUAUAGAAGACAAUCCAAUAGAGGGUGAAUCAUGCUAUCUGGUAACUCACACAAAUAGGUCUUCUAAAAUAUCUUGGGGGCAGCACCAGUUCAAAGUGCGUGCAAACAAAGAAAAUGGCGAGUUUCAUUGCGAGUGCAAGGAGUGGCAGCAUACAGGUACAUGAUAAAACUAUUACAAUAUUUAUAGCGUACAUCCCAAUUUCUUAUUAACAGUACAUAUACUCUCUUGGUUGUUUAGGUUUGUUCUGCGUGCACUUGUUGAGAGCCUUCAUGAGGAUCCAGCUAAAUAGAAUACCACAACAUUACAUUCUCCGUAGAUACACAAAAUAUGCACAGCAGGAGUUGGGAUUCGACAGGAAUGACAAGCUCCAAGUUGGGGCUGAUGGAGUCACACAGUUGUACAGACUCAAAGAUCUAACGUCCCUAGCAAUGGUUGCAGUCAGGUCUGGGAGCAUGUCGCGCGCUGCGCACAUUAGAACGAGAGAGGUGUUGGCAAAUCUUGACAAAGAUAACAAAGAAAUACCCCCUGACAUCGGGCCAAGCACAACAAACAUGCACCAAGAAUCACCUGGAGAGGUAAAAAUUCUAAAAUGUUGCAUGAAGUGUAUGUUGCAUGGCAAGGCACUUAACCGCAUACAUCUGGGUUUGAUUUUGCAGGAGUUAUCAGAUUGUAGUGAAAGUGAUGAUGACUAUGGUGACAACACAAAUGAUGAACAAUUGGCGAAAAGGGUUACCCAGAUAGGCUUGUAUCAUGAUACAGGUGUAUGCGAGUUACCACACUAGGAAAAAAGAUUUGCACAAUAACAAUGACACAAUGUGAAGCAGGAAUUGGGACAAGCAAACGUGGAUGGAAAUGAAGCUAGAGAGAGUAUAAAGGGGAAAAUGGUUCUUGCAGCAAAUCUGGUAUGAUUUGUCAUGGAAGUAGUAUAAAUACGGGAAAUACACAAGUUAACUUGCAUAUCAGCAAGAAAUAUUAAAAGAGAUGUGUUAAUUGUUUUUCAGGAUGCUUUUGGUGGAGACUUUGUGCGCAACGAGGUUGUGCUAACCAACCAAACAGUCAUGACAACUAAAGAUGCAAGAGUGCAUGAAGGAUGUGCAACCCACAGUGGCGAGGUUAGAAGAAUGAGUUUGGAAAUAAUUAAUGCCAUCACCAUUGUUGCAUUGAAUUUAAAGUUUGUGCAAUAAUCUUUGCAGUAUCAUGCCAAUGAUGAUAGACUGAUCAGCCGAGUCCCACCUACGAGAGCCAAGACUAAAGGGCGGAGCAUACCACCAUCUGAAAAGAAGGAAAUUUCGUUGGGAGCCAAAGGUGUGAAAAAGGGCACAAGGAGAUGCAGUAUUUGUGGGUACUACGCAACACAUAACGCGAGAACAUGUCCCAAACUCCAGCAUAACAAAGAGCGCUUGGAAGUAUUGAAGAACAGAAUGAGAGGCAGGCCACGAGGAGCACAGCAUAAGAGUAGUGCCAGCCAGCAUGAUAGUGGAGGAGAAGAGCAUAACAUAGGGCGACAGCAGGACACAAAGAAGUGCCAAGAAAACAAAUAUAUUGAUUACGAGAGCAAUGACGAGCAGUUUUUGUGGGAUUCGUCCAGUGCUCAUUGUAUAUAAAAGGGCAUUGGAUGUCUCUGUAAUAGAUAGGGAACAUUGCCAGUAGUAGUUCCUCUGAGCACGCCUCCGUGUGCAAUGAUGCCUAAGCGCAGAGACAUGUCUUUUGAAGAAUACUGGAAUCAUUAUCGGCAACGAGCGGUCUUGAAGGAUGUUCCAGACAUUUGUGAAAGUAGUGAAAAAACAAAAGAAGAACGUGGCAAAGGAAAGGUAAUCAAGAAGAAAGAGAAUAAGGUCAGGUGUAUUUACUCGGAAUAAUGUUUUUGUUCAGUAAGUUUAUUUACUAGAUGUCACAUAUUUAAUUAUCAAAUGUAUCAUUAAAUAGGAAGUGGCAAAGCCCAUAGAAAAACAGACUUCGUUCCAAAAGGAACACGACAAAUUUAUGAGCGAUAUAAUAUUUGAGGAGAUGUGCCUUGUGGAAGGGGAGCUUCCGGACAAACUAGCGAGGAAUGGGACAACAGAAGGCGAGAUUAGCACGGUGAGUUUUGAGUAUUUGAAAAGAAUAUGAAGGACAAUAGAAAAAGAUUAUUAUAUUGAAGAAUUAUCAUAGUGUGGUAUAAUACAUUUGCAGAAUGGGGAGAACACGGAGGCGGAGGUUUCCAGCAAGAUUGGACGGUGAAAAACAACAUCAAGGAAGCCAAGUAGCGAUUAAAUAAUUUACUUAAUAAUCGAGUGCAUAAACUGAUUUUUGUAAUAAGAGUAAUAUUUUAAUAAGGCAUUACCCUUGUCAUUGUGUACAUUCUUGAGUACCGACCCCAGUAUGCGAAUUCUGAUCGUGGCGAUAGUCAAGGUGUGAGAAUAUGUAAGAAUUAGUGCAACGGAGAACAUCCCUAUGCAGUGUUAGGUCCAUGAUUUCAUUUGUGGUUGUUUGAGAAUGGAUCAUGUGAUGUUGCAGCGUGAGAAAUUCUGCCCCCUGAGAUUUUUCAACACACGCUAACAGGAGAAACUGAACAUUGGGUAACACUCAUAUGCAAUAUGAUAGCAGCUUCCUUUCAAUGAAUCAGUUUUGUUUCUCCGAAUAUCUGUGCUGCUUAAAGGCGUAGAGAUGUUUCUGUCCGUCCCUACCUCCCUCAAUGUGCUAAGAGACAAAGUCAGUAUUACCUAUAAUCGAGCUCUUGUUUUACUGUGGAAAUCUUUGGCGUAAUUUUCUAUAGAGUAACAGAGCAUCACACACACGGCAAGUAAAAGGCGUAUAUCCACAAAUAUGGCACUUCAGACAUACGACAAAAAGGAUGAAACCUUGUGCUACAUUACUGGUGUCCCAUUUCCAUUGCCGUAGCAACAUGAAACAAACGAUCAGUUUAUAAUAUACAAAAGACUAGAAAUAGCGAUAGGAAAGCUAGACGCAGCGGCCUCAUAAGAGAGGCAUACAUGCUUAAAACAGAACAAAGAGAUGCGUCGGGACUGUCGCAGCAGCAUUAAUACACAUCAAAAAUGAGGUAUUCACAUGUCAGUCACAAAACUAAGCAUUGUUCAUGUAUGAAUCAUGAGAAUGUACAAUAUGCACAGCUACAAAAGAAUAAAAAAUUAAAUAGUAAAGGGUUGUAAUGAACAAAAAAAAACUAAUAGAAAAAAGGGUGAUGAUCAUCUCGACGGUACUGAAGGAUUUCGUCGGGCAGCGCGACAACCUUGUUCUGCUUAUGAAAAGUGAGGUAAUACAAGGUCUCAGCACGCAACUCUUUUGAUCGUUCCUGAAAUUUAAAGACAUAUAGCCAUGAAAAGUAAGAAACUGCAUGCGAAAGGGUAGAGUCUUGGGAAAAGACUUACAGCAGUGAUGCUAGUGUGUAGUGAGCCAUGUCCAUCACCAUCAUAGAACUCGAGAAACUUCAUGGCAAAGAAUGCACUGUCCGACAAGGCCUUCUGGACGGCAACCUUGACCGGGACAUGUCUCCAGUUCUUGAAUGAUUUAAAUUUGAGAGGUGCAGCAAUGGAGAGAGCAUCACUUAGUCGGUGCAUGAUUUUUUUCCCAAAUUCCAAAUGAUACUUGUCCCAAUUGUUGUCACACUCAGGGGUGUACAACAUUGAGUCAAGCACAUCAAUCCGUGAUUGGCCAAAGUUAACGCAAUAAACAGACCAAUGGUGCUGAUGUAGAACUGGUAGAAGAAUCUACACAGUGUGUAAAAAGAAGAAUUGACUUAUUUUUGCGAAAAUAUAAUAACAAGGACUUAUCUACUUAACUAAAUUCACGAGUACAACAUAUGCUGAAGCUACUCAAACACAUAAUUAUGAAACCAGCAAACUCAUGGCCAGAUUGGAGGACCAGAAAAAAAUGGACAAAAGCUAACCAAAAAAAAUAGUAGAUGUACCAUCUUUGUCUUCUUCAAGUCUGUGAAAGGAAGACAACGUUGGAUGGCUGUCACUGCUGCAAACUGGCUAUAUUUGGGUUCGGAGCUGUCCCUUUUGUGCCACUCAACAUUGAGAAUUGCCUUCAAGAAAAGAAAUGCCAUGGAAUAAAAAAAGUAUGAAAGAAUGGAAAAAUUUUAAUAUAUCUAGUGUCAAAGAAUGGCAAAAUAAAAGCUUACUGAGAGGCCAGCAUCAAAAAAAAAUUCUGUAGCCAUGGCACUCGGAUCCAAUAAUCAUCAUAGCUAAGACAUUUGACAAAUCCUGUGAUAAAAGUUGAGUCUGGGAUUGCACCAUCGGCAAAUGAUUGUGCAAUCAUGUCACAAGUUAAAGGGGUGCUACCAAACUGGAUCACCGGCAUGCUGUGGAUAUUACAAUCAGCAAAUGGAGAAAUAGAAAGUUUGGCUAUUAUAAGAUUUAGAAAUGGACAAAAGCUAACCUUUUCAAUGUGGAGUCAUCAGCGCACAUGUGUCCAAAGAGACUCAUUGCUGCGUCCACAUUGGGUGCAGGACGGGACAUAAUUCCAUACUUGAAGGGUGAAGAAUAUUUAGCAGGCUUCCGUGUCAUGCGUUUCCCUGUUCUCUGUUCUGACACAUGUAAAGUGCCUGACACCAUGUUAUUUUGAUCCUUUGGAAAGGUCAAAAUAACAUUUAGUUGGAAAAUAAUUAGCUGGAAGGAUUGCAACUCGAAUCGAAUGGAGUGGGUGGUAAUCGUGUCCAGUUAAACAUACAGUUUUGGCCUGGUCUUCAAAUUGGGUAGUGCGUGAUGCAGGGAGAGUAUGCAUAGGAUUUGAUUGCUCUUCACAAUAGAUGGCAUCAAUGAGAUUGUUGAUUCUAUUCAUAUCAUGGUUGCUGUCAGGCAAACUAGAAUAGGGUGGUAUUAUAUGAUCUGAAAAAUUAAUUUCAUGAAUACAGCGUUAAGCAUGAACAGAAAUGACUCCUAAACAAUUAAAGGCUGAGCAUAUGGGUAACAAUCCUGACAGCUGCAUAUUGUAAUGUAAGCCUGGAUACAACCUGGAAAAGAGAUAAAGAGAAAAUUCAGACUACAUAAAGCUAACCUGAGCAAGUAGUAGUACGUGCAUGGUCGUCCCUGCAAGCUUCUUGAUGAGGUUUAGUGCAAGGUGUAGUGCCACCAGUUUUAGAUGUGGCGGGAUCUGUGACCAAGAUUUCCAAAAUAACCGCUGUUAAGCUUUUAUGGUAAAGGGUCAUUACCGAGCAUUUUGCUUGUUGUAGUAUGCGAUAGGCAGUACCUGUGGUGUAUGAGUUUUGGCCGUUGCCAUCCCUUAAUACGUCAUCUCUGUAGCAAGAACUUGGGGUCCUGAAAACACCGCCGUUUCCAUGCUCGAAUAGUUGAUCUACAGAAAGUAAUGUACAGAAAAAUAAGUUGAAACUUUCAGAAGCAAUUUGAUUAGGAAUUGAAAAAAAGUACAUAAUCAGAAUGGAUUGUGGGGAUCGAUGUGUGCCACCGUUGUGAGGAUCGACAAAGUCCUCUUCGAUGCCUGAGUUGUUCCUCCGUGAAGUGUCCCCAAUAUUGUUAGGAUCAGAAGCCGACCUCUGGGCAGCAAUAAGCUCCUCUAUUACCGGUCCACACUUUUCAGCUAGACGAUAAGGAGCUCUAGCAAUGUUGCAUAGAGAAGCUUGGAUGGCACAAGUGUUCUCAGAUAAGGUUUGGUUAAACUGGUCGAACAAUUCAUUAAAUGCUUGCAAGGGGUGACCAGUGAGACAACCCAAUGGAUGGGACAAGAGAUCACGCAAACGUGGAAUACGAAUCUUAGGGACAUUAGUCAUGUCAUCCAAACCAACAUUGAAGUUCCUGGGUCUUGGUGGAGCCUGGCAUGUAUAAUGAUGUGUAAAAUUGAGUAUAUACAAGGAAAAAGAAAAUGACACUAAAAGUCAACCAUGUAAAAUAUAAGGAAACUACAUGGAACAUAUGUCAGGUUUUAGAAGUGAGUAAUGUACACAGAGCAACUAGAAGAAUAAUACAACACCGGGAAUUACUGCAUAUAUAUGUGCAUAGAUAUUGUGUGUGUAUUUGUAACAUGACAAUUCAAUUUAAUAUUUGGCACAUACCUCUGUGCCAUCCUGGGCAAGGAAAUAAUCGGUUAAUCGCCUAGAAUUAUCAGCUGCACUAUUCUUUUCCUUUGAAGAGCGGUGAGAGGACCGAAACUUCUUCCUACGGCGAUCUACAACCCCGGUGCGAUCAUCAGAAGCAUUCCUCAUACGGCGAACAGAUUUAUUGCACCCCGGAUCAUGGUCAUCCGCAAUAAAAUCAGCGCUAGGAUCAUCAGGAACAUAACUCUGUUGAGGAACAUUUCGGUUGGGUAGCUGUUGAAAAGACAAUCCAGGGCCACCACCCACUGGAUAAGAUGAUCGCAACUCGGGUCGAAGAAGAACCUCGAACCUGAAGUGAGAAAAAUGAAAGUAUAAAGUAUAGACCAUGAAUCAAUGAAAAUACAGUGGACUACAGGAGAGGCGGUGAAAUUAUAAACAUGCGCAUACCUCUCCUGUGUGCUCUCGAAUACAGCUAGCUUCGGGUUGAUAGGCAUCCUAUUCACCAACCGCUGACAAGUAUCUGUCCUGGGAGACAAAUCAAAUUGAACAUACUCUGUGUCAGUAAUAAUGAAUACAAUGAGUGGUUAGGAUCCAAAUAUGUUGUAGUUGUUUACAUGGAAUAUUUACAAACUGAAAAGAAUAAAAUGAUGUAAACGUUAUGACAGGCUUGGGAAAGCGGUAGAGAUGAGAACACAGACAAAAAUGAGUCACAUAAGACCUUCUAGUUGAGCAGAUCCGUGGAGAACCUUGCUGAACACCUUCUAACUGUAAGGGAACCGUAUCUACACAUGGAAGAAAAUAAUUAGAGAGAACUACAAAAACAACUCUUUCUUUACUCGUUUUCUAAAGAUUUAGCAGAUACCUGAAGACUCCAUGAGUAGGUAUGAAAAUGAAGGAAACCACAGCUCGGAGGGAUGAUGGCAGAGCUGCCUGGCAUGGGGGAGGAAAAGAGAUGUUAAUAAAGUAUAAAAAGAGUUGUUUUCGAGUGCAUCAUUAAUAUCAUAUGAAUCCUGUUACCGUGGUGGUUCUAAAAUACCUUUCUGUUUUAUUCUUCAAAAAGGAUUGACUCCAAAAUAAGAACAAUUGAGCUUGAUGGUAGGCGCAUAAAGUUGAAGAUCUGGGAUACUGCUGGGCAAGAACGUUUUUGAACUAUCAACUGGUACGCAAUAUGCUUCGUUUGCUGUGAGGAGCAGGUUCUUUAACUAUUUAUGUGAAACUGCUCUGAAUCUACAAACUUUUGACUAUGCAGCCUACUACAGGGGUGGAAUGGGCAAUUUGCUUGUGUAUGAUGUUACUGACGAGUCAUCAUUCAAUAGUGCGUAUUCUUCAACUUCAAUCAACAGACUUUGGCUUCCUAAACUGACCUUGCUGUGGUCAUUGGCAGAUAUAAGAAACUGGAUUAGGAACAUUGAGCAAGAUGCUUCUGACAAUGUGAACAAAAUUUUGAUAGGCAACAUAGCAGACAUGGAUGAAAGCAAACGGGUAUGUUCUGUUCUUCUUUAUUGUCUCUUGUCCAUGAUAUGCUGACAUCCUAUUUGCGAUUGUGCAUUUUAAUGUUCAGUUUAAAAUGAAAACGUAAAAUCUUACUGGUGCUUGGAAGUAUUGAUGAACUGGCUUCCUCAACUGACCUUGCUGUGGUCAUUGGCAGAUAUAAGAAACUGGAUUAGGAACAUUGAGCAACAUGCUUCUGACAAUGUGCUUGCAUUAGUUCUGGCAUAGAACUUCAUGAUGUGUUACCUACGGAACAAAGUUACCUACGGAAGAUGCGUGAAAUCAAAAGCUUAAAUCAGAUUGUUGAAUCUAAUGUCCGGCUCGGCCAUGGCUCGGCCAGCAGGAACUCGACAGCACUGCAUGAUGAAAGGAACGCACAAGAGCAACUGAUUAAAGAGAAGAACAAGGAUGCGACGGAGUACUAACCGACGAGGACCAGCGGAAUCAGCUGCGAAAUGCCAAAUUGAAGAUGACGGCCUGCGGGCGAGGUGCUAACAACUGAAUGCGGUGGAGGCCCUACCCGCCAGCAGCUGGGGAGCGGUGGAUGCGGGGGAUGCCGAGCGGCGGCGGCGGCGAGGGAUGGAGACUGGCGGUGACACGAGGAUCAGAGGGCGCGACGACAGCGGAGCGCGGCGAGCUUAGGGUUUGGGAGCGGCGGCGGCGGGGGAUGGCGAGCGGCGGCAGGGAGGGAUGGCGAGCAGCGGCGGCGGCAGGGGAUGGCGAGCGGCGGCGGGGAGGGAUGGCGAGCGGCGGCGGCGGGUGAUGGCGAGCAGCGGCGGGGAGGGGUGGCGAGCGGCGGCGGCGGGGGAUGGAGAGCGACGGCGCGCGGCGGGGGAUGGCGAGCUGUGGCGGUUCCUGCUAGGAGGAACUGGAACGGGAGGAUGUUGACCCACGUUCGGAGGAGCUAUAUAUAUAUAGCUAGGAACGUCAUGCUUGAGAUAUUUUGAAAUGUCUCUUUAUAAAUAAAUUUAUGAUGAGCAAUAUAUAACUUACGGAAUGAGAUAAGUUCAAGUAGGAACGACCAACAUAAUGCAUACACUACCUGGUCAAUGUCCAUAUCGGCUGGAAACUCAAAGUUGCUCUCUGUACGUAUCCUCAUAUGCAAACCAGAUGGUGUCGUCUGAUGGGAAUCAAUUGUAAAAAUCCUUAAAAUUCCCAGCUGCGGUUGAUACUGUCAGAGGAUCACCUGGGAGGGUUGAUGCUGCUUCACCGUGAGAUGUGCAUCGACAGCGAGUUACCCGUGCACCCUCAGCAUAGUCAGAAGGGAAAGUACUCUUGGUCAGAUCCUGACGAAUAUCAAAAUAAUCAUAGAAACUAAACAUAAAAAUGAUUAUGGACAAAUUACAUAUAUAUACUCACAACACUAUCCGUCGUUGCGUGAAUGAUGCACAAAUUACUAGUAUAGAAUUGGCAUUCGAUGCGCCCCCUUUUGUGCCGGUUUAAAGUUGGCCCGGGACAAAAGGGGUGCGCCACGGUAGGUAAAAAUGGAGGGGAGAGUUAGUCCCGGUUGGUAAUUGCAACCGGGACUAAAGGCCCUCCUUUAGUCCCGGUUGCAACGACUAGUUCCGGCGCGUUGGUGGCGGCACCCUUUUAUCCCGGUUGGAGGUUCCUUUUAUCUCGGUUGGAGCCUCCAACCGAGACAAAAUGUUUAGUCCCAGUUGGAACUUUCAACCGGGACAAAAGGUGUUUCGUUUUGUCUCGGUUGGAGUUUUUAACCGGGAUGAAAACUCAUUCCCAUUAUAUACCAAGAUAGAGGCCUUUCUUCCUCCUCCAGCCCGAGCCAGACCAGCACAUAGAUAGAGAGCUGAGCUUCACCUACUCUCCGGUGGUGCCGAAGCAAGGGAGGUGCUGCCCGAAGUUUUUUUCCUCAUUUUCGUGGGAAUUUCACUCAGCCAACACAAGUGUUGUGAAGGUUUGCUACUUCAUCCUCGUGUUAUGCUUUGAUUUAUGCUUUGGAGAUGGAAAGAUUAAUUGCUAGAAUGUGAUGAAGUAGAAAAUGGAGAGGUAUUUUGAGCUAGAAUGUGAGGGAGAUUGAUGUGUCAUAUAUAGUAUGUAUUCUUGCAGUGGUUUAAGAAUGAUGCUACCUUGCCUAGACGGUUUAUCUUAUCAAAUUCAAUAAGGUUUUUCAAAUCUAUACUUGUUGAACUUGCAUACCGUGUUCAUCUCUGCGAGCAUGUUCUCUGCCGAGCAGCAACGUAUGUCAAGAAGGAGGUUCGAUUCUACGAGAAAGAGUGGAUAUGGACAUCGUCACUGUGUCCCCUUUUCCAUAGCAUCGAACCUCUUUCAUGACGAAGUGCGAUGCCGCCUAGUUGAGAACAUGCUCGCGAGAUGAUCAUGGUCUUCAAGUUCAACAACUUCUGCAGUGCUAAGGAAAGUAUUUUUGUACAUAGAUGGCUUCUGCUACUUGCUGAACUUAUCAAAUUCAAUAUGGUUUUUCAAAUCCAUACUUGUUGAACUUGCAUACCGUGGUCAUCUCUGAGAGGAUGUUCUCCACCGAGCAGCAACAUAUGUCAAGAAGGAGGUUCGAUUCUACAAGAAAGAGUGGAUAUGGACAUCGUGACCGUGUCCCCUUUUCCGUAGAAUCGAACCUCUUUCAUGAAGAAGUGCGGUGCCGCCCAGUUGAGGACGUGCUCACGAGAUGAUCACGGUCUUCAAGUUCAACAAAUGAGACACUAAGCAUGGUCAUUUUCAUCAAAUGUGUUGCUUUUGGAGCUGGGGAGAAUGUAUUUUUAAUAUCAUGUAACUCGCUGAACUCGACCGGGCAUGUACCUCUGAAAACACCAUCUUGGAAGUACGCUAAAACUGCGUGGAAAGAUGAGUGUUCGGUCUACUUGCCAGGCAGGCUCAUACCUCAGAAAAUUCUGGUCGAAUAAAAUAUACAUUGAGGUUUACAAACCUGAGGUUUCCUUGAAACCAUGUUGCUAGCAAACUACCAAAAGUAGGCCAAGCAAGAGAACAAAGAUGUCAAUUUCUCAGCGUUGGAGGGGAGUCCUUAUUUAAUAUAUUAAGGAAUAUCUGCCUUGUUUAUUCACUACUGUACAACAUUAUAAGCAAGUGGUUGCAACUUGGAACAUAUAUAGGUGGGGCCAUGUCGUAUGUCCUUCAUUCAAUCAGGGCCGCCACAUCAACGUCUUUACCUUGGGCACAAGUGGCAAAUGGAACAACAACUUGCACGCAUAUGAUGAAGAGUCCUACCCGCGUACUGCUUUAAUUUUUUAUUUUUGUUGAUGACAGGCUGGCUGAUGUUAUGGGUGCGUCUCAGUUCUAUAAAUAAAGGAGGAAACGUGGUUGCCUAUUUUGACUCACCACGGAUGCAUGUUUAUAUAGGACCAACCGCUCAAGAUAUAUACAAGAUCUCGUCAUCGUACGUGACUCGGAUACCGUUUACAAAAGACUUAUCUCUAAUCUACCUCUAAGUAUCCGAAUCAACUAAGGAUGACAAAGUAGUUGGAACUGUUUACACAAGAUAUUCUAUUCUAACAUCCUCCCUCAAUCUAAACUUCUCUUCUUGAGAUUUAGAUGGUGCUUGAAGUCUUCUAACUUGCCGGCUAUCAAAGCUUUAGUAAAACCAUCCGCAACUUGAUCAUGAUACUAAUCUGACUUGUAAUUGCUUCUUGGCAACCCUCUCUUGUACAAAGUGAAAAUCAAUCUCUAUAUAUUUUGCACGAGCAUGAAAAACUGGAUUUGCUGAAAGAUAUGUGACCCCCAAAUUAUCACACCAUAAGAUAGGUGGUUGUGUCAACUUUACUCAAGUUCAAGCAACAAAGAUUCUAACCAAAUCAAUUCUAUAGUAACAUUUGCCAUAGAAUUAUAUUCUGCUUCAGUACUAGAUCUUGAAAUUGUACCUUGCUUUCUAUCACUCCAAGAUACAAGAUUAGGAUCAAAGAAUAUUGCAAACCCCCCUGUAGAUUUUUCAUCAUCAACACUACUAGCCCAAUCAGUAUGAGAAAAUGCACUCAAUGUCAUUGAACUAGACCUUCUCAUAUGCAAUCCAACAUUCAAGGUACUAGAGAAUCAACCCAUCAUCGUCUUCAUGUCUUGUCUAACAUGUACUGACGUGACAGGAAUUUGCCAUGCGACGACCGCCAAUAUGCUAGUCUCCGCACAAGCUAGCAACGUCCAAGGAGACUGCACACAGUCUCCCUUCAGUGAAUUAUAUAUGUGUGUAAAUAUAAAAGGCAGCAACAUUCAUGAAAUGUCGACCACUAAGAUCGUGGAUUCACAUUUAGCGAAAUGUCUCUAAAUGGUUCUUACAUUAUAAUAAUAUAAAAGAUCUCUGUUGACUUCACGAGUCAAGAUAACAGUGACACUGUUCUUUUUGCCACCACAGAAAUAUACUCACAUAGCGUGUGACAAAUAAAUAAAGGAAACACAUAUUUAUUUAAAUUCUUAGUUUGUAUUUGGUUUGCGAACGAGAUGGUUCUCUUCGUCCUAGUGUUCUGUUGACUUCACGAGUCAAGAUAACAGUAACACUGUUUUUUUCGCCACCAUAAAAAAUACUUGUCAGAUACCGUGUGACAAACAGAUAGAGAAAAUACAUAUUUAAUUAAACUCUUAGUUUUUUUUGUUUGCGAACAAGAUGGUUGUGUCUGUCCUAGUUUUUUAGAUGGGAUAUCCCUUCUUUUGCUUGGUUAAGGGAAUAGUGUCACCUCUAUUUUAUAUAUUUCAUAGCAGGGAUAAGGAGAAAGAGGAUGGAUAGCUGUUUUCAAUACGUGAACCACCAUUAGCAUGGGCCUUAGUUGUUAGCUCCAACAGCGGAGGUUAGCGAUGAGGACGGAGACCGGCACGCGGACUCAGUAGUGGAGCUGUGUGGCCUUGGCCAUGGCAAGAGAAGAUGGGAGGCAGUGCCACCAUGGCUGCCCGUCUGUGCUUCAUUCACCCGCCAUUUACCAUCAACCCGAGCUGCUUGCCGUCGGUCAGAGCUACCGCAGUGUCAAUUCAAUCCACCAUUCUCUUCCAUGCUACACUCACCACCUCACCGUUGAGCUGACUCGUACCUCAGCCAUGGACAGCCGCCAUUGACGCCAGAACAUGAAGAUGGGACACAUUUAACGAUGCCAAAGUAGGAUGAAUUGUUAAAAUUUUUUUAAGAACCCGAUUAAUUCCUUGGGUGGGGUGACGCGCAAUCCUAGCAAUCCCUGAUCCAAACAAUAUCAUAAACUUGGGAUAUCCUGCUUUGUCUUGGUUUCCACAAACUAAAUCUGACUCCCUCCGAUUCAAAUUGUAAGUUGUUUUGGCAUUGUAUAUAGGUUUUAUGAUGCACCUAGAUAUACGUUAUGUCAAUAUAUAUAGUAAACCUAUGUAUUUCAAAAAGUCAAAACAACUUACAAUUUGUAAGGGAGUAUAUUAGUGGUGAAAGAAGCCUAACUCUCUUAAUUUCUCUAAGCUUUUGAAAUAGAGCACAACUUCAAGUUGUUGUAGGAGAUUCGGGUGUAUAUAUGUAAAUUUCCUUGCUUUGACAUUUCUUCAUCUAAGAAAAUACAAAAGUGUAGCAAUCCUCAAAAUCUCGACGACUACCCAGUUCAUUCAUGUAUUCACACUUGUUUGUUGUUACUGAAAAGUUUUGUGUUCCUUACAUGACACCCAAGUCCUAUCUUUUAUUCCUUAUUUGAUAUUUUUAACACUUGUGUCACUUCAGUCGAAUGAAACAACCAUCAAAUCAUCUUCAAAAUUCAUGAAACUUUUUUUGUAAUAGAACAAAUGAAGAUAAAUCCAUUUUGCUUAAAUUCGCUAUGUAAGUUUUGCUAGGAAAUAGUUUAAUAAGUUCUAGCAUCUGAUGUGAGAAAUAUUAGUUAUUUUCUUAUAAUUUUCAAAAGUGUGUCGAUGCCAUCAAAAUUCAGAUAAUUUUAGAAGCAGCCUAAUUUGGUGAAUUUUAGUUUUAAAACUGUAAAGGUUUAUGUGUCCUUUAUAUCAAAAUGGGUUAAUAUUCGUUUGUUGUAUCCCUACAAAAAGUUUCAUGAUUUUUGGAGGUGAUUUGGAGAUUGUUUCACCUAACUAACUAACAUAAGUGAUGGAAAUGUCAAAUAAGGAAUGAAAGUUCGAAGUUGGUGACAUAUUUUGAAGGAAAAACUUUCCAGGAUCAAGAAAGGAAUUAACUCAUCUUCGAGUGUCAAAUAAGAAACUUUCUCUAAGAAGAAUCGAAGAAUAUUCUUCAAAUACAAAGAUGGUAAUGACCAUGUUUCUAAUUGGCCCAGUACACACUUGUUAAAGUUUAGCCGCGUUCGUUGUUCGUGUGUCGUGGCAGCCCCGUGAUUUUGAGAUGGAAGGAUAAAGAACAACACAACUUUAUUACGCAUGCAUUGGGUGACGUAAGCAUGCAAUCCCUGGAUGACUUCACCAAGUCAGCAUAUAUCAAGUACAGUUGUGUUUUCUUCCCCACGCUACCACAAAAAAUUGUAGUCCAAAACCACGUCUCAGUCAUCCUCAUUCUAUGCCAAAUUUUUGUCUAUUUUUCCCUUGCUAAAUUGCACAAUAAAUGUGUUCUUUUUUUCCAUGAGUGAAGAGUAAUGAAGCAUGGUCAUUUUCUUGCCCAUCUGGCCACCUUUGUAGAAUGUUCAAGUCUAAAUGAGUUAUAUUUGGACAGGGGUACACUAUGGGAAACAACAACUUUGCCGAGUGCCUGGGAGCACUUGGCGAAGCCCCUAAAACACUCAACAAAUACCUCCUUUGUCGAGUGCCCGAUAUAAUGCACUCGGUAAAUAAAAAAUACUCGGCAUUUUAAAUGUUUUCCGUAGUGGUAGUACGUAUUCAAAAUCGUGUUCCUCAAUGAACUCGAUCAAGUACUUCUGAAUACAAACCGAGACUAAAGGGUCUGAGGACUUUUGUCCUUUUUCACCCACCCAUGGGGGACCCUUUAGUCCCGGUUGGUGUGAUUUUUUCACCUGGGACUAAAGGGUCUGUCACGGGUGGCUGAUUUUUGACUCGGGACUAAAGGGGGCUUUAAUCUCGAUUGGUAUUUGACCCGGGAUUAAGACCCCUUCAGUCAUAAGCCAGCUUUAAACCGGGAUAAAAGGAGGCGCAUGGAAGAUGAGUUCUCUACCAGUGAUACCAAUGCUAGACUUGUUUUAACAUUUAUUUCAUUUCAACAAAAAUUCGAAGCCAAAGACUAAAUAUUUACAUAACCAGGAUGUAUAUAGAACUUUUUGACUGCUAUUUGUCAAAAAAAAAACACCAUUCCUUGUUAGCCAAUAGCAUAGCAAAAUCUACCUCACAAUAUCAGUAUGCACAACCAGGAAGUAAAAAAAAAGCAUGAAAUCAAACAAAAAAAACAAAUCAAGUUUUACAUUCAAGCUGGUAUAGUCCUUCUGCUUGAUAUUUCUGUGCAAAUGGAAUAAAUCUUAAAACAAGUCAAACUGGGAAAUUUGCGGGAGCCACCUUGCUAGUUUGCUAGAAAUAAAAGUAGCAAUUAGGAUUUCAUUCUAUGCUAUAUAUAUACAGCCUCAGGCCGGGCUCUCCAGGACUCCAAACUGUGUACUCUCUUCAUUGUGUGGUGAGGUAGAGAACUAGGGAUCCCACCCUGAUAAGAUUCCUCUGGUGGAGAAAACCGUGGCUACUGCCGACAUGGCUUUGGCACCAAGUCCCACUCCCCAAGUUGAUGCUUUGCUACGACAUUCGCAACGUCAUGAUAUGCUAUCUUUGGACUACGUGGUAGCCCUGUUCUUCGUGGCCGUGGUGGCCAUGUUCCUUUUGCAUAUAUUGGGUCCGUUACGCCGGUGGUUGAGCCACGGUCUCCUCCAUCACAUCGUGAUGGGAGUCUACACUCUCUCCUACCCAUUGGUGGGCUACACCAUUGGGCUGAUGCAGUCUACCAAGUAUUUGUACUUGAACGACUUCACCGUGUGGGCUGUGUUCCUGCUUCUGCUCCUCACCAGCACGGACAGCCUCACGGCUUGCCGCCUCGACGACAUCGACAACUGGAAGAGCAUCUACGUCAAACAGCUCUUUAAGGGAUUCAUCGUGGUGUUUAUCGUUCUAAAGUUUUGCAUUUACAUGGAGUUGGCUUCGAAUUUGAACUACCUGUGGUACCCGCUCUCAGCCAUCCUGGUCGUUAUCGUCCUCAAGUCAUAUCUGAUGAUAGCUUCCAUGAGGAUGGUGAGCAAGUCCUACCACGGCAAGAACGUGAAGGUGAUCGCCGAAUACAUGCAGCAUAUAGACAACAAGCUGGUGGCCUUCGAUCCUGUGACCAUGGAAGGCUACCGGUACAUGGUCGCCGGUGAGAAACACUGCGUUAACCAGCCUGGGCACACACCAUGGUACAAGAAGCCGGACGACUUGAAGCUUA
rnacentral:lncRNA from 1 species